UACGGAGGGAGCUAGCGUUGUUCGGAAUUACUGGGCGUAAAGCGCGCGUAGGCGGAUCUGCAAGUCGGGGGUGAAAUCCCGAGGCUCAACCUCGGAACUGCCUUCGAUACUGCGGGUCUCGAGUCCGGGAGAGGUGAGUGGAAUUCCUAGUGUAGAGGUGAAAUUCGUAGAUAUUAGGAAGAACACCAGUGGCGAAGGCGGCUCACUGGCCCGGUACUGGACGCUGAGGCGGCGAAAGCGUGGGGAGCAAACAGG
rnacentral:rRNA from 1 species